AGACUGAGACCUCACCCGCCUCGAGAGCGCGCCUCGAGAGCGGCGCGGGGAAUUGUGGGGUGGUGUAACUGGUCCUCGCGCCCCGUGGAGGAAAUGCUGCGCAGGUGCGGAUAGUUGGUCUCGCCAGAUGGACCUUAGCGGGAACGCUGAGCUCCCUGUUCUGGAGACCACGUGGAGAGGCCACAUAGAGAGAUUAUGGAAAAGCCACAUGAAGAACUGAGGGAACCGGACAGCAAGAAUUGAUAGCCCUGAAUCUGUGACCUCCGUUCUGGCUGUCCCUCAGCCAUUUGAGCUUGUCUCGAAACACGAGAAAUCUGACUGGGAGGCGCUUCUGCUCCCCGUGGUGGUGCCUGGGUGACGCAAGUGGCUGGGAUGGCAGGACAGAUCCAGACGGCUUCUUUCACGUGCCUGCGGCCUUGGCACUUGCUGCUGACUGGAGUGCCCCUGUUCUCCUCGAUGUGGCCUUUCUCUCCACACCCAGUGUCUCACCCUCCAGGGCCUCUCUGUGUGGCCUCACUCUCCAGGAAGGGAGCUUGGACUUCCUUACAGCACGGCAGCUGGAUUUCAAGAAAAUAAAACCAGAAGCUGUAAUAGGAUUCUUAUGGUCUACCCUCAAAACUGGAACAGCAUCCCUUCCACCAUGUUCUUUGUCAAGUUGCAAUGUUAGCUCAGAUUCAAGGACAGGGAACAUGGACUCUCUUCCUCUUGGUAGGAGGGAUGGCACGUGCGUAUCGGGAGGAAGGAAUUCUUGGUGACCGUCUUCGGAGACUACCUCCCACAAGUGUCUGAACCAAGGUAGACAUUCUUCCUCCACACCAGGGUUUUUGUGGCUCCUCCAAGAUGAUGGGCGUAAGGGGUCUUCUGUCUUCUUGCUCUUUCAUUUUUAUGAUGUUUUCCUCAUCCAUUUGUUCCAAGAUUCCCACAUUCAAAUUCCAGCAAAUGAGAAAAUCAAGGAAAGGAGUAGAGUGCGUUCCUCCACAAAGGCUCUGACUUUUAAAUUGCCCCUUUCCUUCCCACGCUGCCCAUCAGCCAGAAUAAAGUUAUACGGCCGCUCUAAAUGCAAAGGAGGCCAGGAAAUGCAGUUUUUGGUUUCGUGGCCAGAUGCCUUGCUAAAAAUUUUUUGGAAGAAGGAGCAAGAGAAUAUUGGGGAAACCCUAGCAUUCUUAUCUGCCAAGUGAUUAAUUCAAGAAGAAACAGUGGGCGUGUCUGGGAUACCCUUAGAUUGGGCAGCAAACGUGAGAAGCCGUGUUCAAUCCAGCCUGUUACUGGUGGCCACUGAGUCCAAUACUGAAAGAGUUCGGGGCGCCUGGGUGGCUCAGUCAGGUAAGCAUCUAACUCUUGAUUUCGGCUCAGGUCAUGAUCUCACGGGUUC